rnacentral:rRNA from 1 species
GUACACAAAAAUGCACAUAUUGUGAGCUCGAUGAGUAGGGCGGGACACGUGGUAUCCUGUCUGAAUAUGGGGGGACCAUCCUCCAAGGCUAAAUACUCCUGACUGACCGAUAGUGAACCAGUACCGUGAGGGAAAGGCGAAAAGAACCCCGGCGAGGGGAGUGAAAAAGAACCUGAAACCGUGUACGUACAAGCAGUGGGAGCCUCUUUAUGGGGUGACUGCGUACCUUUUGUAUAAUGGGUCAGCGACUUAUAUUCUGUAGCAAGGUUAACCGAAUAGGGGAGCCGAAGGGAAACCGAGUCUUAACUGGGCGUUAAGUUGCAGGGUAUAGACCCGAAACCCGGUGAUCUAGCCAUGGGCAGGUUGAAGGUUGGGUAACACUAACUGGAGGACCGAACCGACUAAUGUUGAAAAAUUAGCGGAUGACUUGUGGCUGGGGGUGAAAGGCCAAUCAAACCGGGAGAUAGCUGGUUCUCCCCGAAAGCUAUUUAGGUAGCGCCUCGUGAAUUCAUCUCCGGGGGUAGAGCACUGUUUCGGCAAGGGGGUCAUCCCGACUUACCAACCCGAUGCAAACUGCGAAUACCGGAGAAUGUUAUCACGGGAGACACACGGCGGGUGCUAACGUCCGUCGUGAAGAGGGAAACAACCCAGACCGCCAGCUAAGGUCCCAAAGUCAUGGUUAAGUGGGAAACGAUGUGGGAAGGCCCAGACAGCCAGGAUGUUGGCUUAGAAGCAGCCAUCAUUUAAAGAAAGCGUAAUAGCUCACUGGUCGAGUCGGCCUGCGCGGAAGAUGUAACGGGGCUAAACCAUGCACCGAAGCUGCGGCAGCGACACUAUGUGUUGUUGGGUAGGGGAGCGUUCUGUAAGCCUGUGAAGGUGGCCUGUGAGGGUUGCUGGAGGUAUCAGAAGUGCGAAUGCUGACAUAAGUAACGAUAAAGCGGGUGAAAAGCCCGCUCGCCGGAAGACCAAGGGUUCCUGUCCAACGUUAAUCGGGGCAGGGUGAGUCGACCCCUAAGGCGAGGCCGAAAGGCGUAGUCGAUGGGAAACAGGUUAAUAUUCCUGUACUUGGUGUUACUGCGAAGGGGGGACGGAGAAGGCUAUGUUGGCCGGGCGACGGUUGUCCCGGUUUAAGCGUGUAGGCUGGUUUUCCAGGCAAAUCCGGAAAACCAAGGCUGAGGCGUGAUGACGAGGCACUACGGUGCUGAAGCGACAAAUGCCCUGCUUCCAGGAAAAGCCUCUAAGCAUCAGGUAACAUCAAAUCGUACCCCAAACCGACACAGGUGGUCAGGUAGAGAAUACCAAGGCGCUUGAGAGAACUCGGGUGAAGGAACUAGGCAAAAUGGUGCCGUAACUUCGGGAGAAGGCACGCUGAUAUGUAGGUGAAGCGACUUGCUCGUGGAGCUGAAAUCAGUCGAAGAUACCAGCUGGCUGCAACUGUUUAUUAAAAACACAGCACUGUGCAAACACGAAAGUGGACGUAUACGGUGUGACGCCUGCCCGGUGCCGGAAGGUUAAUUGAUGGGGUUAGCGGUAACGCGAAGCUCUUGAUCGAAGCCCCGGUAAACGGCGGCCGUAACUAUAACGGUCCUAAGGUAGCGAAAUUCCUUGUCGGGUAAGUUCCGACCUGCACGAAUGGCGUAAUGAUGGCCAGGCUGUCUCCACCCGAGACUCAGUGAAAUUGAACUCGCUGUGAAGAUGCAGUGUACCCGCGGCAAGACGGAAAGACCCCGUGAACCUUUACUAUAGCUUGACACUGAACAUUGAGCCUUGAUGUGUAGGAUAGGUGGGAGGCUUUGAAGUGUGGACGCCAGUCUGCAUGGAGCCGACCUUGAAAUACCACCCUUUAAUGUUUGAUGUUCUAACGUUGGCCCGUAAUCCGGGUUGCGGACAGUGUCUGGUGGGUAGUUUGACUGGGGCGGUCUCCUCCUAAAGAGUAACGGAGGAGCACGAAGGUUGGCUAAUCCUGGUCGGACAUCAGGAGGUUAGUGCAAUGGCAUAAGCCAGCUUGACUGCGAGCGUGACGGCGCGAGCAGGUGCGAAAGCAGGUCAUAGUGAUCCGGUGGUUCUGAAUGGAAGGGCCAUCGCUCAACGGAUAAAAGGUACUCCGGGGAUAACAGGCUGAUACCGCCCAAGAGUUCAUAUCGACGGCGGUGUUUGGCACCUCGAUGUCGGCUCAUCACAUCCUGGGGCUGAAGUAGGUCCCAAGGGUAUGGCUGUUCGCCAUUUAAAGUGGUACGCGAGCUGGGUUUAGAACGUCGUGAGACAGUUCGGUCCCUAUCUGCCGUGGGCGCUGGAGAACUGAGGGGGGCUGCUCCUAGUACGAGAGGACCGGAGUGGACGCAUCACUGGUGUUCGGGUUGUCAUGCCAAUGGCACUGCCCGGUAGCUAAAUGCGGAAGAGAUAAGUGCUGAAAGCAUCUAAGCACGAAACUUGCCCCGAGAUGAGUUCUCCCUGACUCCUUGAGAGU